GAUGCAUGGCUCUGUAAAUAAAUCAAGUAAAACUGAAAAUUCAGUUCCUCAGCUGCACUAACCACAUUCCAAGUGCUCAGCACAUGAGGCUAGCGGCUCAUGGUGGACACUGAAGAUAAAGAUCAUGUCCAUCACUGCCGAAAGUUCUGUAAGACAGUGAGGCCCCAGAGCUGCUGAGCAGGACCUGGGAGAAACCCUCCAACACAGGAGGGGAACUAUAGGCAGGGAAAAUAGCUUCCGUUACUAGCCUUGCACUGAAAAGGGACAAGGCCAGAUGGCCCAAAUCAAGGGCAAAUGUUGCUCUGGGAUUAGGCUGCUUCUCAACAUGGGCAGUUCUCUGGAGUUGAGGACGAGCAGCAUCAGGGAUUUAUUUACUCACUGAAUGUCAGCUACGGCGGGGAAGCCCAGCAGUAGUAAUGCAGCCUAUGUGAGCCAUCACGGUCCUUCCUUUUACUCUUUAACAGGGGUAGGGGUGGUGAUUAAGAAACCUGAAGCCUCUAGAAGCUCAGGGCUUCAGUUUUAACUACGGUAGGACAAGGAACAAAAACUGGAACAGGUCCAAGACGGAACUCCUCUUCCCCCUGCCAACCUGCCGCUUCUGCACGUCCAGGGUAAUGGAGACAGUCCGGGGCCCUCAGCCCCAAACCUUACUUUCCCUUCACUUCUCUUUCUCUCCCAAUCACCACCACCCAGUCAAAGAAUCCUUCGUGCUCUGCUUUCAACGCAUCCGGAAGCUGACCUCUGGGCACCUCCUCCAGAACUGCCACCCAGCUGGGACCUGAGGCCCUCCUUUGCCUGGAGUCUUGCAACAGGCUCCUAGCUGGUCUUCCUGCUGCUACCCUCUGCCUCUGUCUUCCCAUGGCCUGUUCCUCUGUGCCUGUCUUCUUUUCUGCCUCUCAUCAGGACACCUGUCAUUGGGUUUGGGACCCACCCUAAUCAGGAUGAUAUAUAUAUAUAUAUAUUUUACGGCUGUACCUGGGGCAUGUGGAAGUUUCCAGGCUAUGGGAUGAAUCAGAGCUGCGACUGCUGGCCUACGUCAGAGCCAAGGCAACACCAGAUCUGAGCCGCAUCUUCUACCUACACCACAGCUUGUGGCAACACCAGAUCCUUAACCACUGAGCGAGGCCAGGGAUCGAACCGGCAUCCUCACCUUCCUGGAGACUAUGUUGGGUUCUUAACCCGCGGAGCCACAAUGGGAACUCCCAGGAUGAUCAUGACAGUGUUACUUUAAUUACACCUGCCAAGACUCUUACUCCAAAUACAGUCACAUUCUGAGGCUCUGGGUGAACAUAUCUUUUGGGGGUCAGCAUUUAACCCAUUAUGCUGUCCCACAGACUAUCCUCAGCCCUAGUGAUCCUUUUAAAAAUUGAGUUAAAUUAUGAUACUACUCUGCUCCAAACCCUCUAAUGGCUCCCAUCUCACUCAGAGAAAAAUGGGAGCCCCUCGACUGGCCUAAAAGGCUCCAUGUGAUCUGGCCUUCUGCUUCUCUGUUCUCACCUCCUACCAUCCAGCCAUAAAUAAUAACAGGAGCUCAAGGGGGAGUUGAGACAAAUUUUGAGUUUGCAUCAAAACCACCUGGUUACUGACAACAUCUGAGAGUUAACACUUGACAAGGACCAAGUUGGGGAGCUGGAAAAGUUAUUACAAAUUCAGGUUUGUACAUGCUGCAUUUGAGAUGUCCUUCGGUCCAUUUAUAUAUCAUUUCAGCAAGAGAUCUGGGCUGAGAAGAUAAAUUUGAAAUAUAAAUAUGAGAAGAAAUUAAGUCAUUAGGAAAACUGAUAUUCCAAGGUAGAGGAGGGUGAGCCUGCCAAGGAGACCGAGGAAAGAGGUCAGGGCCGAGCAGGAGUGGGAAAACCAGGAGGGUGGGCAUCAGGGAAAAGAGGGAGGGAACGGGUAGGGUUUCAAGGAGUGAAGAGUUAUGCUAAGCAUAUCUGGGAAAGAAAAGGGACUCUAGGCCUUAGCAACACUGGGGUCACUGGGGAACGGUUUCACUAGAGGAGGGGGCAGCAGCUUGACUGAAGAAGGGUAGGCAAGGUUCAGAGUUGAUGAAGACGAUAAGCAGUUCUUUGGAAAAUGUAAACGGAAAGGAAAGGCCGUCCAUGAAAGGUGGCUGUGUGACUGGGGUCGAGCUCUCUUUGGGGAUGAGGCAGGAGAGAGACGAGUGGAGGUUUAAAGGUUGGUAGGAAGGACCUAGUGGAGACUUAAAGGCUGAAGACAGGAGAGAGGGAGAGAGAGAGAGAGAGUGAGAGAGAGAGAGAGAGAGAAGGAUAAUCAGCAACAACUCAGGAUUUUCCUGAGAAGUGAAGCUGGGUGAGGGGUUAGCUUUUGAUAAGAGGAAGGAGGCCCCCCACCCAGUGUCAGGAGCGAGGAGUCAAGUAUGGGGGUGGAUCAGCUGCGUCUCAAGUUUUCCUGAUGGGACACGGAGGGCGUU
rnacentral:lncRNA from 1 species